rnacentral:lncRNA from 1 species
AAAUGCUUCGCUGGGUUAAUAGCCUAAUUAGGAUGAUUUUCCAACAAGUUGGAGUAAGCAUGCAAUUGGUAUUUUGGCCUGGGAAGCCAUAUGGUUUGUCUCUAAGUAUCAUGAAGAAAAUUGUUACUAUUAAUAAUUUAUCCGUGAUCUGGUGUCCAAGCUUACCUGCCAUGCAACAGAAUCGUGUCCCAACCACCCAGGAGAGGAUGCAGUGUUGUCUUUUGUGGCUGUCGAAUGGGUAGCCAAAGGAGAGUGUUCAACAAGACUAAGAACAGAGACCAGGCCAAGGCCAUCCUUUCAAGAUGACCUUUUCUUUGAGAAGGCCCCAAGCAGACAGAUUUCCUUACCAGACUUGUCUCAAGAGGAGCCUCAGCUGAAGACUCCAGCUUGGUAAAUGAGGAAGCACUGCAGAAGAUUUGUGCUCUUGAAAAUGAACUUGCUGCUCUCAGAGCUCAGAUAACCAAAAUUGUGACUCAGCAAUAGCAGGAAAAUCUAAUUUCAAGUGACUUAGAUUUUACCACAUCUGUUACCACACCACCAUCCCCUCCACCUCUCCACCAGUCUUGCCCGCCCUCUCCACUGGGACUCCACCAAAGUAUAUUUGAUAUUGAUCUGAUUAGAGAGUGAGGAGGGAGAAAAGCCAAUUCUGGAAAGACGUUGGUUAAGAACAAUCCAAAAAAAGCUGACAUGCCAAAAAUGCUAGAGACUCUUAAAGACAUGAUCAGUGUAAAACUUUAGUCAGUAAAAACCUCAGAGCAAGAUGUACAGCCCAAGCCAGUGGAUGCUGCUGGACUUGCUCCCCUCAUAGCAGAGGCUCUGAAAAAGAAAAAUUUGCUUAUCGGAAUCAAAGUAGUAUACCAAUAGGCUUAUUGGUAUACCCAGGAUGAAGUUGAAAAAGGAGUUCCAAAGUCUGAAUCAGAGGCCACCUCAGAUACAGAGUUGUCUGCACUACACAUGUUGAAGUCAACAGGAAAAAUGAAGGCUUUAAUGGAAAAUAUAACAAACUCCUAA